UAAUUCCGGCCUGAUUUAUUAUUCAAUCUUAUCUUUUAGCCAAUGUCUCUUUAACUUGGUUAAAAGGUGGAAACGUAGAUAAAGAGUUUGAGAUUUGUAUCGUGUUCAGCAUAUGAAUCUUGGAUAAGUUGAUUUACAUGUCGUUACAAUAAUUGUUGUACAUUUACUAUGCGUCUGUAGGAAUGUUCAAUUGAUUUUGUAAAUGAAUUAUGUACGUUGGAGCUUAGAAGUUGGAUUAGAGCUUACUAUGCGUCUGUAGGAGUGAUAAUCUGAUGAGUACGAAUUUGAUCUUAGUGUUCAGCAAGGUUAAAUUCAAGCAUCUACGAACAUGUUCAGUGCAAGUAGAAUGAACGAGAUUUUUACAACUUUCAUUAGAUUAAUCAUUAAUCCAUAGGUUAAUUGGUCCGUUAAGUUAAUUCACAUCUGGAGCAUAUUAGGAGCAACGUUCUUUAUCUCUUGAGUUUCUCCAUUUUCGUACCUUAGUUUGUAUUUUUUAGUUCAUUAAUCUUAUCCAUUCUUGUUAAAUAGCCUACGCCUCCCUGUGGUUCGACACUCGAAAUACUACAAUCGACUCUAUACUCUUGCAGAUAGAUUGUAAUAUUAGAGUUAAUUUAUUAAACUUGUGUUAAUAAUCCAUUAAUAUAAAAGCUCGAAAAUUACACAUCAGCCUGUCAUACUCAGAAAUAUAAGGUUUAUUCAGUACGUAUUUAUGAUAUUAUCUCCUAGUACAUAGAUAACCUAAUAAUAGCUUACUGAAUUUCUUAAGGAGAACUUUGAGUUCCAUUAUGCUGGUUUCAAGACACAUAACAUUCACAAUUUAUCUGAGCUUGUCCAAACCAAUCUUGCAAUCCAGCUAUGUACAAUUUUAGGUUUCACUAUGGAGCCCCUGCCUUUUGGCUGUAUCUUUGCAAUACUUAAAUAACAAUUUAUGGGGUUUUGAUCUAUGCAAAGCCCAUUCUUAAUACAAAAAUGCAGAACCAAACAUACAAAGGUCAUUUUUAAGUCAUCAUAAGCUUAUUUUUACGUCAUUAUAGUAAUGAUGACAUAAAAUGAUCUUAACAUGACCUCAAACCCGAAUUUUAUUUGGAGUCAGGAUGUUUCGUUAUCUAAUUCUCUGACUUAGAAGCUUAGAUAUUUUUGUUGUAUCAAGCCACCCCGCUUCUCUCUUUAGCACUUUAAACGUUGAAAUCAUUCCAGGCGACUCUUUAUCCAGUAAUCUCAAGCAUAAACAGGAGCAAUUUGACAACAAAUUCCAGAGCUGUUUUGACAUGUCCAAUGAGAUCAACCCUGAACCCAUAAUAGUGGCCAAAGCAGCACUCGGGAAUUUGCUGGGCGGGGUUGGCUACUUUUAUGGCCAAUCAAAAAUUUCACUUCCACCUUCCUCUAAAGUAAGGCGGUUUCUGAGUAGUUUACAUGCUAAUUCUUCAUGCCCUAGCGAAAAUCUGAAUGAAUAAUGAUUUAGUUUAUAUCUUGAACUUUAAGUGUUUUUUCAGUUUGUAACCUCAACUUUGACUUCUUUUUCGUAUGUCAUGAAAUCUGAGAAAUUUCAUAGUUAUGGUCCGUUUAAA